CAAAAAGGUGUAAAACUUAUCGAAUUUCCCGAUUCAAUGUCCGUGAAAUUGCGAAAUACAGAUAAAGAGGGGAGGGAAUAUAAUGAAACGAAUCACUACUGCAAUCACUCUCGUUCUAUAUUAUAUAGGUGCACUUAAAUUCAAAGUUGUAAACAAAAAAGGAAUCGUUUGGCGAAUAUGCUAUAAUUGUCGUAUAUAUAUAAAAUAAAUACGGAGUAUCCUUCAU